rnacentral:rRNA from 1 species
CCUACGGGAGGCAGCAGUGGGGAAUAUUGGACAAUGGGGGGAACCCUGAUCCAGCAAUGCCGCGUGUGUGAAGAAGGCCUGAGGGUUGUAAAGCACUUUCAGUGGGGAGGCGUUACCCACAGAAGAAGCACCGGCUAACUCCGUGCCAGCAGCCGCGGUAAUACGGAGGGUGCGAGCGUUAAUCGGAAUUACUGGGCGUAAAGAGUGCGUAGGUGGUUAAUUAAGUUAUCUGUGAAAUCCCUGGGCUCAACCUGGGCAGGUCAGAUAAUACUGGUUAACUCGAGUAUGGGAGAGGGUAGUGGAAUUUCCGGUGUAGCGGUGAAAUGCGUAGAGAUCGGAAGGAACACCAGUGGCGAAGGCGGCUACCUGGCCUAAACUGACACUGAGGCACGAAAGCGUGGGGAGCAAACAGGAUUAGAUACCCUUGUAGUC